AGUUAGUACUACAGGAUGCAAAUUUCUGUUUGAAAAAGCUAGCCUUAGCUUUUCUAACUGCCUGUGUAUAUUUCUUCCAGCAAUACAACUCAGUUGGCCUGAAGGAGGAAACUGAGGCAAAGGGAGUUGAUGGUGCUGCUAAACAGCAUUCCAGAUUAGAUUCUAUAAGUUUUUUUUCAUAAUUUUUGCUAAUAUGUAAUGAUCCUUUUCUGCUAAUUAAAUCUGAUGAAUUUGAUGUAGGGCUUCAGUAGCUGGAGGCAAGGCUUCUCCUACAGAGCUCCUCUUUAUGGAAUGGUUUGCUGACGUGACGUGAGAGAAUCAGACUCUCAACCUUAAAGUCUAGACUGAAGACUUCUCUCUUCUGUCAGUCAGAUGACUGAGUGUAGUCUGGCCCAUGGGUGGGAAGGUGAACGGAAAGGUACUAGCCCCGACAACCCACCCCACCCUUAAACAUGAAAGCCAUCUGACCCUAGCUUCAUGAAAUGUUUGCACCCUCUAUAGCCAUUAUGGUCUUUAAAAAUCAAAUCCAUGAACGUUUGAAAGUGUUUUUCUGUGCUCUAUCCUGUUCUGAUGUAUCCAUCGGCCUGACAAGCAUGCCCACCAUGAACCGCUUUUAUUGUGCUUCUGUCUCUGGGUUCCUUGCUCUUUGGGGUUUUAGGCAGUGUAUCUGUAAAGCUCUUUGUGAUGCUGUUUUACAACUGCUGAUGUAAAAAGGACCUUAUAAAAUACAUUUUGAUUUGAUGAUAUCCUUGCUGUGCUUUCACUAACAAUUAGAUAUUUUUGUAAAAUUCCUAACAUUGUCCCUAAGAUAUUUUUUCUCUAACUUGUGAGCAUUGCAAUUGUAGAACUCAGCACAACUGCCAGUGUGGUUUAUUUUGUUCUGCAAUAGAUGUAAUUAGGUCCUUGAUUAUGUUGUAGGCAGCACAGUCGGAUGUGGAAGUUUGGACCCGUCAGAUAAAGGAGAACCUCACAGGCCAGAGAAUGUUGUUCCUUACCUGUUAGAGAUACGUGGAAACUCUCGCAGAACAACAGUAAGUCGCCCUGGAGAAAAGGUUGAAGGCCAUGGAGAAGAGAAACUGGAUUGUAUGCUGGUUUCUUCAACACUGUGCAGCAAUUAUGGAAAGUCUGCAGACUAAGAUUACUCUCUGUCUGCUGGCUACAAUCCAUUGGCUGAUCCUGUAGCGCUCUUUCUAGCGUGGCAGAAAGCAUGCAGAUGGACAAACCGUUGCUGUGCGGCUCUCCAGAAAAAUCAAGUGGACACGAGAGCGAAUAAAACAGCAGAUCAACGCCUACAAUUGAAGGAACCUCAAUUCCACCCAAGACUGGAGUACGUGGAUGUUCUCCAGAAAGACCAUAUAGUCUGGUCCUAGUUGUCCAACAAUUUGGGGGACAGUCUGCUCUGGGCAAAGCAGCGUGCAGUGAUGCUGCAUAACAUGUGCCUUAGGGCAGCAAAGGAGAAGCACCUUAUAGAAGCAGACGUACAAAAUUGCCUUUUUUUUAUUGCCAGAGAGUUGGGGCUUUUUGAGGAGGCCCUUGCUUCUCUUGGGCAGUGUGAGGCUGAGCCAACACGCUUUCCCCUGGGUGACUCUGUGCUGCUCCGAAAUAAAAUGCAGAACAUAUUAAAGCUCCAGCAAGCAUUUUCAAUGUUGACUAGUCAGCACAGAUGUAGAGGAGGACAGUGAUUCAGAAGAUUGAGAAAUUAAUGUCUGUCUGUGUUUGCGUGUGAGUUCUACACAGACAAACUAUACACUGAGUAUUCCAAACAUUAGGAACACCUGCCCUCAGAACAGCCUCAAUUCAUCAGGGCAUGGACCUGUACCACUGCACAUUGACUCGAUACCAGUACCUCCUGUAUAUAGCCUCGUUCUUU